rnacentral:rRNA from 1 species
GAUCGAGCGAAUGGAUUAAGAGUUCUUGCUCUUAUGAAGUUAGCGGCGGACGGGUGAGUAACACGUGGGUAACCUGCCCAUAAGACUGGGAUAACUCCGGGAAACCGGGGCUAAUACCGGAUAACAUUUUGAACCGCAUGGUUCGAAAUUGAAAGGCGGCUUCGGCUGUCACUUAUGGAUGGACCCGCGUCGCAUUAGCUAGUUGGUGAGGUAACGGCUCACCAAGGCAACGAUGCGUAGCCGACCUGAGAGGGUGAUCGGCCACACUGCUACUGAGACACGGCCCAGACUCCUACGGGAGGCAGCAGUAGGGAAUCUUCCGCAAUGGACGAAAGUCUGACGGAGCAACGCCGCGUGAGUGAUGAAGGCUUUCGGGUCGUAAAACUCUGUUGUUAGGGAAGAACAAGUGCUAGUUGAAUAAGCUGGCACCUUGACGGUACCUAACCAGAAAGCCACGGCUAACUACGUGCCAGCAGCCGCGGUAAUACGUAGGUGGCAAGCGUUAUCCGGAAUUAUUGGGCGUAAAGCGCGCGCAGGUGGUUUCUUAAGUCUGAUGUGAAAGCCCACGGCUCAACCGUGGAGGGUCAUUGGAAACUGGGAGACUUGAGUGCAGAAGAGGAAAGUGGAAUUCCAUGUGUAGCGGUGAAAUGCGUAGAGAUAUGGAGGAACACCAGUGGCGAAGGCGACUCAUGGGUCUGUAACUGACACUGAGGCGCGAAAGCGUGGGGAGCAAACAGGAUUAGAUACCCUGGUAGUCCUAGCCGUAAACGAUGAGUGCUAAGUGUUAGAGGGUUUCCGCCCUUUAGUGCUGAAGUUAACGCAUUAAGCACUCCGCCUGGGGAGUACGGCCGCAAGGCUGGGACUCAAAGGAAUUGACG